AUUGAACGCUGGCGGCAGGCCUAACACAUGCAAGUCGAACGGUAACAGGAAGCAGCUUGCUGCUUUGCUGACGAGUGGCGGACGGGUGAGUAAUGUCUGGGAAACUGCCUGAUGGAGGGGGAUAACUACUGGAAACGGUAGCUAGUACCGCAUAACGUCGCAAGACCAAAGAGGGGGACCUUCGGGCCUCUUGCCAUCGGAUGUGCCCAGAUGGGAGUAGCUAGUAGGUGGGGUAACGGCUCACCUAGGCGACGAUCCCUAGCUGGUCUGAGAGGAUGACCAGCCACACGGGAACUGAGACACGGUCCAGACUCCUACGGGAGGCAGCAGUGGGGAAUAUUGCACAAUGGGCGCAAGCCUGAUGCAGCCAUGCCGCGUGUAUGAAGAAGGCCUUCGGGUUGGAAAGUACUUUCAGCGGGGAGGAAGGGAGUAAAGUUAAUACCUUUGCUCAUUGACGUUACCCGCAGAAGAAGCACCGGCUAACUCCG
rnacentral:rRNA from 1 species